rnacentral:rRNA from 1 species
AAAGCGGUCUAGUAUAAGCACUUUAUACUGUGAAACUGCGAAUGGCUCAUUAAAUCAGUUAUCGUUUAUUUGAUAGUACCUUACUACAUGGAUACCUGUGGUAAUUCUAGAGCUAAUACAUGCUAAAAACCUCGACUUCGGAAGGGGUGUAUUUAUUAGAUAAAAAACCAAUGCCCUUCGGGGCUCCUUGGUGAUUCAUAAUAACUUAACGAAUCGCAUGGCCUUGCGCCGGCGAUGGUUCAUUCAAAUUUCUGCCCUAUCAACUUUCGAUGGUAGGAUAGUGGCCUACCAUGGUGGCAACGGGUAACGGGGAAUUAGGGUUCGAUUCCGGAGAGGGAGCCUGAGAAACGGCUACCACAUCCAAGGAAGGCAGCAGGCGCGCAAAUUACCCAAUCCCGACACGGGGAGGUAGUGACAAUAAAUACUGAUACGGGGCUCUUUUGGGUCUCGUAAUUGGAAUGAGUACAAUCUAAAUCCCUUAACGAGGAACAAUUGGAGGGCAAGUCUGGUGCCAGCAGCCGCGGUAAUUCCAGCUCCAAUAGCGUAUAUUAAAGUUGUUGCAGUUAAAAAGCUCGUAGUUGAACCUUGGGUCUGGCUGGCCGGUCCGCCUCACCGCGAGUACUGGUCCGGCUGGACCUUUCCUUCUGGGGAACCUCAUGGCCUUCACUGGCUGUGGGGGGAACCAGGACUUUUACUGUGAAAAAAUUAGAGUGUUCAAAGCAGGCCUUUGCUCGAAUACAUUAGCAUGGAAUAAUAGAAUAGGACGUGCGGUUCUAUUUUGUUGGUUUCUAGGACCGCCGUAAUGAUUAAUAGGGAUAGUCGGGGGCGUCAGUAUUCAGCUGUCAGAGGUGAGAUUCUUGGAUUUGCUGAAGACUAACUACUGCGAGAGCAUUCGCCAAGGAUGUUUUCGUUAUUCACGGGACGAAAAGUAAGGGAUCGAACACGAUCAGAUACCGUCGUAUUCUUAGCGUAACCUAGGCGGACUAGGGAUCGGGCGGGGUUUCUAGGAUGAUCCGCUCCGGCUCUUACGGAAAUCCAAGUUGUUUGUUUCCACGGAAUAUGGACGCAUGAUUAAACUGGAGAACCUUACGGAAGGCAGGACACGGGGAAAACAUUUGUUUUGUUUGCCUAAACCCGGGAGCGCCCAAGAACAGAGGAAAAAAACAAAAAAAAUAAAA